GAGGGGAGGGGACCCCCCAGCAGCUGCUGCCUGUCUUUAUCCUGCCGUCACCACUAUAUUUAGGUGCUGUCCCACUAGGAGCCACCGGGAGCGCUCGACUUUGAUCCCCCUUGCUGCAGGUGGGUGCGUUCUUCAAAGUCAUGUCAACGUGUCUACAAGUCAAUUAACUGACCAGACGUUUUUCUGUUUCAGAGUCACUACAGCACUACCUUGUGGCGGAUUUUACGAACUACUACGCACAUGACCACCGCCACGAUGACAGCGAUCUGCACGGCUCCAAUGAUGGCGGCGAUGAGGACGUAGUGCAGUUUCUGUCCACUGGGGACAACGUAGAGAACAUUGAAAUCCAGCAGCUGAUCACACUGAGAGCCACCGUAGCCUGCUUCACACCUGGAACACACCCACACAGGUCAAAGAUCCUGACCCGGUGUCUAGCUCCGACACAGAUGAGAGGACACAGGUGUUAGUGGACAAGUGUAGAUAAACAGUUACAGCUGGCUGCACCUAACGUUUUGGACGUUCAUGUCGAGUGAGUUACCGUGGUAACAGGGUCCCUCCGACACGAGGCUGAUUGCUCUCUGCUUCUUACACGACGACCUCCUCAGGAAACAUUCAUUCUGCUCCCUCGUCCUCUUACGCUCAGAUGACCUCAUUAUCUCUCUGCUGCCUCGAGAACAACACAGACUGGUGGCACAAGACUCAUCCAAGAAUGUGUGGAUUCAGUCUGGACAGGAGAAGAGAGACACAGCCUGCCCUGUGGAUUCCAUCCUAACCUAUCUACACUGGGAAGUGAGGCUCUUGGUCGGAAAUGGUAUGAAGGACCCGAACUAAAGGUCAACACUCCUGAGUGAACAAAUGCCACACCAAAUUAGACGUAACGUAGUCCAGGUGGAGCAGACCUUAAAAUGUCUGAAGUCCUCUGUGACAGUGGACCCUGCUCCACCCACUCUGUGUCUGUCUAACCUUGUGUGUUUUAGAAUAAUUCACACAAACACAACACAGUUUUCUGAUGGGACAUAAACAGCCUGCACAGUUAGUACUGAGGUGCACGAAAUAUAGUGGAUAAAAACGUUAAGCUGUGCCAUGAUUAUUUUUUUUAAAGCAUGAUAAAAACAUGUAAACAUUAGUGGAACAAAAACACAAGGUCACGGAGUAUUAAAGUGUUGACUUAAUCUGUAAACCUAAGAGUAGAAAAGAUUUUUAAGGUUUGUUUUAUUAGCGGCGUCUUUUGUAACGUUUGUAAACUCUCUUUUUUCCUUGGCAGCCAUGUUUUCAUUUUUACUUAAAGCCAGUCUUUGAUUUUUAAUUUGAAGAAGCAGGGGGCGCUCACAGAGUGGUCAGUGCAGAAUACAGUUGUCUGUAAAUACCCUAUACACACACACACACACACACACACAUGAACACACUGAACAGGGGAUGCGGGCCUCAUCUGACCUCGCCCUGGUUCUACACCCUAUCAUUAACCCUGAAAUAGAACACACACACAAAUGCACACGCCGCUGCACAUCCGUUUCUAUGGUGACCAUUCUGCUAUAAAUCUGCUCAUCAAAUCUGUUUCAUUUUGACGAUGCUGUCGUCAUGACAACAGAUGGACAAAGACAACACCUGGAGCCUGUGUGUGUGACCUGCACGAGUGACCCGCAUCAGCUGACGUGUCCAGGUGUCUCACCU